UACGUAGGAUCCAAGCGUUGUCCGGAUUUACUGGGUGUAAAGGGCGUGUAGGUGGACUCUUAAGUCGGUGGUGAAAUUUUGCAGCUCAACUGUAACAUUGCCGUCGAAACUGGGAGUCUUGAGUGCGGAAGAGGGAAGCGGAAUUCAUGGUGUAGCGGUGAAAUGUGUAGAUAUCAUGAAGAACACCGGUAGCGAAGGCGGCUUCCUGGUCCGAUACUGACACUGAGGCGCGAAAGCGUGGGGAGCAAACAGG
rnacentral:rRNA from 1 species